AUACGGAGGAUCCGAGCGUUAUCCGGAUUUAUUGGGUUUAAAGGGUGCGCAGGCGGGAGAUUAAGUCGGCGGUGAAAUUUUGCAGCUCAACUGUAAAAGUGCCUUCGAUACUGGUUUCCUUGAGUGUGGAUGAAGUAGGCGGAAUUUGUGGUGUAGCGGUGAAAUGCUUAGAGAUGUGGAGGAAAUCCGAUUGCGCAGGCAGCUUCCUAAACCACUACUGACGCUCAGGCACGAAGGCGUGGGGAUCAAACAGGAUUAGAUACCCUGGUAGUCCACGCAGUAAACGAUGAUUACUGGCUGUUUGCGAUACAAUGUAAGCGGCUGAGCGAAAGCGUUAAGUAAUCCACCUGGGGAGUACGUUCGCAAGAAUGAAACUCAAAUGAAUUGACGGGG
rnacentral:rRNA from 1 species